UUCCCCGGCCUCGAGUCUGAGAUCCGCCACUGCAUCCUGGGCGAGUGGCUGCCCAUCCUCAUCAUGGCUGUGUUCAACCUGUCAGACUUCGUGGGCAAGAUCCUGGCAGCCCUGCCUGUGGACUGGCGGGGCACCCACCUGCUGGCUUGUUCCUGCCUGCGUGUGGUCUUCAUCCCCCUCUUCAUCCUGUGCGUCUACCCCAGUGGCAUGCCCACCCUCCGCCACCCGGCCUGGCCCUGCAUCUUCUCACUGCUCAUGGGCAUCAGCAACGGCUACUUCGGCAGUGUGCCCAUGAUCCUGGCGGCAGGCAAAGUGAGCCCCAAGCAGCGGGAGCUGGCAGCGGCCCUAGCUCCAUCCCAGCCAGCAUUCUGCGGGGUCACGCACCGUGUCCCCACCCAGGACAGCAGACGCCCGCCAGAGUGUGCGCGCCCAGUGACUGCACCCCGGCCUUCAUCACUCGCCGGCACUGAUCAGGGCACCACCUGGGCCAGCCUCCACCAGGGACCCCUCCUCAUGAACCCUGGAGCCCUGGAGGAGAGGGGCAGCCCCCUACCUUGUCACCCUCAGGCCUCCCCCUUCUGUCCUCAUUCUUAGAGACUGCUUCUCCCAAACAAAACGCGUUAGCCAUCGUAGCCCUGGGUCUGAAUGGACCCACCUGCGGUCUGCAUCAGCCUCUGGGAAACCACAGCGGGGAUGCCAGCUGGGCACGUCAGGCCCUCCCCACACACCCACGCGAUGCCACAGGUCAGGGGGCUGUGCCUGACUAGGGAGCCCUCCCAUUGCUUUCCUCGCCC
rnacentral:sRNA from 1 species